UUUUGUGUUUUUUUCCUUGCUCAGAUUGCUACUUUUCAUUAUAGAUCUGCAUAAGCCUGGACACUGAUUGAAAGACCCCCAGAGCAGGGAGACCCUCACUCAAGUCUCGGGAUGACGCUACCCCCCAAGAACUCACACAAGACC
rnacentral:pre_miRNA from 14 species